rnacentral:rRNA from 10 species
AAACUUUCAACAACGGAUCUCUUGGUUCUGGCAUCGAUGAAGAACGCAGCGAAAUGCGAUAAGUAAUGUGAAUUGCAGAAUUUAGUGAAUCAUCGAAUCUUUGAACGCACAUUGCGCCCGCCAGUAUUCUGGCGGGCAUGCCUGUUCGAGCGUCAUU